rnacentral:rRNA from 1 species
GCGUAAGCGCACGCAGGCGGUCUGUCAAGUCGGAUGUGAAAUCCCCGGGCUCAACCUGGGAACUGCAUUCGAAACUGGCAGGCUAGAGUCUUGUAGAGGGGGGUAGAAUUCCAGGUGUAGCGGUGAAAUGCGUAGAGAUCUGGAGGAAUACCGGUGGCGAAGGCGGCCCCCUGGACAAAGACUGACGCUCAGGUGCGAAAGCGUGGGGAGCAAACAGGAUUAGAUACCCUGGUAGUCCACGCCGUAAACGAUGUCGACUUGGAGGUUGUGCCCUUGAGGCGUGGCUUCCGGAGCUAACGCGUUAAGUCGACCGCCUGGGGAGUACGGCCGCAAGGUUAAAACUCAAAUGAAUUGACGGGGGCCCGCACAAGCGGUGGAGCAUGUGGUUUAAUUCGAUGCAACGCGAAGAACCUUACCUACUCUUGACAUCCAGAGAACUUUGCAGAGAUGCAUUGGUGCCUUCGGGAACUCUGAGACAGGUGCUGCAUGGCUGUCGUCAGCUCGUGUUGUGAAAUGUUGGGUUAAGUCCCGCAACGAGCGCAACCCUUAUCCUUUGUUGCCAGCG